rnacentral:rRNA from 1 species
GAUGAACGCUGGCGGCGUGCCUAAUACAUGCAAGUCGAGCGAACGGACGAGAAGCUUGCUUUUCUGAUGUUAGCGGCGGACGGGUGAGUAACACGUGGAUAACCUACCUAUAAGACUGGGAUAACUUCGGGAAACCGGAGCUAAUACCGGAUAAUAUUUUGAACCGCAUGGUUCAAAAGUGAAAGACGGUCUUGCUGUCACUUAUAGAUGGAUCCGCGCUGCAUUAGCUAGUUGGUAAGGUAACGGCUUACCAAGGCAACGAUGCAUAGCCGACCUGAGAGGGUGAUCGGCCACACUGGAACUGAGACACGGUCCAGACUCCUACGGGAGGCAGCAGUAGGGAAUCUUCCGCAAUGGGCGAAAGCCUGACGGAGCAGCGCCGCGUGAGUGAUGAAGGUCUUCGGAUCGUAAAACUCUGUUAUUAGGGAAGAACAUAUGUGUAAGUAACUGUGCACAUCUUGACGGUGCCUAAUCAGAAAGCCACGGCUAACUACGUG